UACGUAGGGGGCUAGCGUUGUCCGGAAUCAUUGGGCGUAAAGAGCGCGUAGGCGGCCAGAUAAGUCCGGUGUGAAAGUCAAAGGCUCAACCUUUGAAUGCCGCUGGAAACUGUCUGGCUAGAGUCCGGGAGGGGCGAGUGGAAUUCCUGGUGUAGCGGUGGAAUGCGCAGAUAUCAGGAGGAACACCAAUGGCGAAGGCAGCUCGCUGGGACGGUACUGACGCUGAGGCGCGAAAGCGUGGGGAGCGAACAGG
rnacentral:rRNA from 1 species